CAUCCUCCAAGGCUAAAUACUCCUGACUGACCGAUAGUGAACCAGUACCGUGAGGGAAAGGCGAAAAGAACCCCGGCGAGGGGAGUGAAAAAGAACCUGAAACCGUGUACGUACAAGCAGUGGGAGCACCCUUCGGGGUGUGACUGCGUACCUUUUGUAUAAUGGGUCAGCGACUUAUAUUCUGUAGCAAGGUUAACCGAAUAGGGGAGCCGGAGGGAAACCGAGUCUUAAUUGGGCGUUAAGUUGCAGGGUAUAGACCCGAAACC
rnacentral:rRNA from 1 species